ensembl:lncRNA
GGUGAAAAAUCUCCUUCACAAAAUCCAACAAACAAGAUGCCUUCAUGGAUAUAAAUACAGAGCAUUUACAGCAGGCCUGGCGCAAAGGGAGGAAACGCAGCAUUUGGUUCAAUUUAAAGGGGUGUCAAAAGAAGUUUCUACAUUUCUCAGACCUGCCUCGCUCUCCGGUGGCUCCGCCUCUGGAUUCCUGCUUCCUGAGACCGGCGCGCCCGGCCAACCGCCGACCCCCCUCGCGCUGGGCCGCACGCUCCCCCUCCUCCUCCCCAAAGUGGAGCGAGGGCUCGAAGAGGAGGUUCACCUUCCCGCCGCCGGGACACCGGAAGACCAUCCUGGAGGGUGAGGAGCCGCCGUGAAGCCGUCCUCUACCUCCACCUCUGCCUAAACAGACCCAGUACCUCAGAAACCCCCCCCAAACAUAUGGACUCCCUCUAGAGGAGCCUGAGGGGGGGGGUUGGGAUCCAACCAGUAGCACCAGCUGACCAUCGAGGAACCAGAACCUCUUUUUUUUCUUUUCUUUUUUUUUUAAGAGGAACCUGGAAUGUACUGUAUUUAAAGACAACCUAUACAGAAAAAUAAGUUUCCAUAAGAGGUGCCUGUAUACUUGAGUUAACCAUCACCCACGUACGUGUAGGUAGGUGUGUGUGUGUGUGUGUGUGUGUAUCUGAACCUAUUUUUCAGGUAAAAACUCCUCCUGUGUUUACAUUUUUAUUUUUCUUCAUCGCUGUCCCAUAAACAUUCAUGCAAACUUUUUUUUAAAUCCUUUUUUAUUUCUUUUUGUUUUGCCAGCCUUUAAAGCUUCACUUUACUUUUCUCUUUACGUUCAAGGAGAGGAAAGACAACAAAAACAAGGAAGCAAACAAACAAACAAACAAAAAAAACCCCAACUUCUGCUUCACCGGGUCUGAAGCGGAGACACAUGAUGUCAUUUCUGAUGCUCGUGUCCGUCUUUAUUUUUACGUUGAGAUGAAUGUUUGACUCUGUAGACAUGUAGAAGAUGGGUGACAACAAACGUAAUAACCUUAUGCAUAUUUGGAAGGCAGUUGUACAAAUAUGGGUCAAAUAUUUGCAUGCCUUUUGAAUACUAGCACUUUAGUGCAUGUACAUAAAGAGCUAUAGUCAUUUGUGAUUGCUCAGCUCAGCUGUUUGGGGGAGGGGAUUGUUUUGUUGUCACAUAAUUUGCAUUGAUGAAAAUAAGAUGUUUUUAAGUAAAUUAUUGUACUUAUCAGGCUGGC